rnacentral:rRNA from 1 species
GACGAACGCUGGCGGCGUGCCUAAUACAUGCAAGUCGAACGAACCGCGACCGAGUGCUUGCACUUGGUCAAGGUGAGUGGCGAACGGGUGAGUAACACGUGGGUAACCUACCUCAUAGUGGGGGAUAACAGUCGGAAACGACUGCUAAUACCGCAUAGGACAUGGAAUCACAUGAUUCUGUGAGGAAAGGUGGCGCAAGCUAUCGCUAAGAGAUGGACCCGCGGUGCAUUAGCUAGUUGGUAGGGUAACGGCCUACCAAGGCGAUGAUGCAUAGCCGACCUGAGAGGGUGAUCGGCCACAUUGGGACUGAGACACGGCCCAAACUCCUACGGGAGGCAGCAGUAGGGAAUCUUCCGCAAUGGACGCAAGUCUGACGGAGCAACGCCGCGUGAGUGAAGAAGGUCUUCGGAUCGUAAAGCUCUGUUGUUAGAGAAGAACAGCGCAUAGAGUAACUUGUUAUGCGUGUGACGGUAUCUAACCAGAAAGCC